rnacentral:rRNA from 1 species
UACGAAGGGGGCUAGCGUUGUUCGGAAUUACUGGGCGUAAAGGGCGCGUAGGCGGCCAUUCAAGUUAGGUGUGAAAGCCCUGGGCUCAACCUAGGAAUUGCACUUGAUACUGUUUGGCUUGAGUUCGGGAGAGGUGAGUGGAAUUCCCAGUGUAGAGGUGAAAUUCGUAGAUAUUCGGAAGAACACCAGUGGCGAAGGCGACUGACUGGACAAGUAUUGACGCUGAGGUACGAAAGCGUGGGGAGCAAACAGG